ACCCGUUCUCGUAUACCAAAUCAUGCAGGGGCUGAAUUGGAGACUUCAACUUGGAAUUCAAAAAAUGGUAAAUUAGACUCGGACAGGACGAAGUCAGAGGAAACUUUGGUGGAGGUCCGAAGCAGUUUUUAAGUGUAAAUCAAUCAUCUGAUUCGCAGAUAUGGGCGAAAGACCAGUCAAACCUAGUAAUAAAUGAUUUCCUUCGAAGUUUCCCUCAGGAUAGCUAGCCCUCAGAAAUUCAUCUGGUAAAGCAAAUGAUUAGAGAUAUUUAGGGCCGAAAUUAUCUUAGCCAACUCUCAAACUUUCAAUGGUAGACUCUUCUUUCAUUGAAGGUGGAGCAAUGGAGGAUUUUGGAAGGCAGAACUGGCACUGUGGGAUGAACCAAACGCUGGGUUACGCCGUCCGAUGCAAGAUGUUCAAGAGAUCCAAGGAAAGGUAUUGGUUGCUGUAUUCAACAGGAUGGUGGUUAUGGAAGUCGGAAUUCUCUACGGAGUGUGCAACAGCUCUCCUACCAAUGAAACUAGCCCUAAAAAUGGAUGGAGCUCAAGUGUAGAGCAUCAUUCCCAGUCGCUGAAGCAGAGCCCGUGACUCAAUUGUGUAACUUAGUCAGGCAAUGAAUGAGUUGUAGGGUGACGACGGAUAGCGUAGAAGGUGUGGAAGCGAUUCUGCUUAGAGCCUCUGUCGGUGCAGAUAUUGAGGGAAGUAGACAAUGCUCUAUCGAAAACCUAAAGGAUGUAGAAGGGCUCCCUGCGUGAACAGAAGCUGUAAGUGGGUGAGUCGGCCCUUAGGGAUUAGAGAAAUGCAUUUCGAAGUCGAGACCUUAUCGAUUUCUAAUUUUAGCCUCGAUGCCGAACGAAAGGGAAUCGAGAUAGGGGUUCCGAAACGGAGAUAGGGGUUCUGACCCCGAGUGUGGCAAGGCAAGCGAACUCGGAAGAGCCCGUGGAGGAACUGGGGAAGAGUCUUCCUAAGAGGUCGUCACUGAAAAAGAGUCAUGUGUAAAUAGAGACUUGUUAACGUAAGCACAUCUCGUUUCUCCAGUGUGUCCCGAAUCUUUCUGCAAACCUCUGCGAAUCCAAGGGAGAGAAUAUGAUUUUCGUGCUGGUCCGUACCCAUAUCCCCAGCAGGUAUCCAAGGUGAAUAGCCCCUAUAGACAAACGUAGAUAGGGGAAGUUAGCAAUUUCGUUCCGUAACUUCGGGAUUAGGAUUGGCAAUGAGUAUCGGGCUGCUGUGGGAAGCGUGGAGUUUCACUCGUGUGGAUUGGGAGUUCCCUCCACACGUGAGGGAUGCUGCGUAGAAUACCUCAGCUAUGUGGAGAACUCGAAUUGAUUGCGCGGAACCAUACCACUUCAGCGGGCACUAGAUAACCGACUCUGAAAUGGCACGUACUUGUGGAAUCCGACAGUAUAAUUAAAUCAAAGCACAGCAAUUGGUAUUAAUUCAAUGCGAUUCCUGCCCAAUGCUUUGAAGCGAAGAAAUUCAUCGAAGCUCGGCUACACAACGGGAGAAACUGCGACCCUC